rnacentral:rRNA from 1 species
GACGAACGCUGGCGGCGUGCUUAACACAUGCAAGUCGAACGGAAAGGCCCCCUUGUGGGGUACUCGAGUGGCGAACGGGUGAGUAACACGUGAGUAACCUACCCUUGACUUUGGGAUAACUUCAGGAAACUGGGGCUAAUACCGGAUAGGAGCUCCUGCUGCAUGGUGGGGGUUGGAAAGUUUCGGCGGUUGGGGAUGGGCUCGCGGCUUAUCAGCUUGUUGGUGGGGUAGUGGCUCACCAAGGCUUUGACGGGUAGCCGGCCUGAGAGGGUGACCGGCCACAUUGGGACUGAGAUACGGCCCAGACUCCUACGGGAGGCAGCAGUGGGGAAUAUGGCACAAUGGGCGGAAGCCUGAUGCAGCAACGCCACGUGCGGGAUGACGGCCUUCGGGUUGUAAACCGCUUUCGCCUGUGACGAAGCGUGAGUGACGGUAAUGGGUAAAGAAGCACCGGCUAACUACGU